rnacentral:rRNA from 1 species
UGAGGAAUAUUGGUCAAUUGACGAGAGUCUGAACCAGCCAAGUAGCGUGCAGGAUGACGGCCCUAUGGGUUGUAAACUGCUUUUGUUUGGGAAUAAUCGACAUUACGUGUAAUGUUUUGCAUGUACCAUUCGAAUAAGGACCGGCUAAUUCCGUGCCAGCAGCCGCGGUAAUACGGAAGGUCCAGGCGUUAUCCGGAUUUAUUGGGUUUAAAGGGAGCGUAGGCUGUUUGUUAAGCGUGUUGUGAAAUGUAGGAGCUCAACUUUUAGAUUGCAGCGCGAACUGGCAGACUUGAGUGCGCACAACGGAGGCGGAAUUCAUGGUGGAGCGGUGAAAUGCUUAGAUAUCAGGACGAACUCCGAUUGCGAAGGCAGCUUACGGGAGCGCAACUGACGCUAAAGCUCGAAGGUGCGGGUAUCGAACAGG